UUGAAAAUCUUAAGGCUUUUAAUGUAAUGAUGUUUCUUAUGUUAUAUAUUUGUUAAUUUAAUUUAUCUGCUAAUCAUAAGAGAGAUUGAAUUAAGAUUUACAUUUUUGCAUUUUAUAUCUUCAUAUGUGCAAUACAUUGUUUAUUUUUUCUUUUUCUUGUUUAGGAACAUUUUCAAAAGCUGAGAAUCAAGGACGUUGAUUUCAUCUCAACCCACAUCAAAACAGGUACUUUUUAGGGCAAAGAUUAUUCAAAAAUUGCAAUUCUCAACACAUCCUAUGAGUUCAUUUGGUGGGUGAGCAAAACAAGUUUACAUUUUGACUUUUCAGCCCCAAAUAUUUAUAUAUGAUUUUCAUUCAAUUUCAAGCUGCCAACAAUCUGAAAUGACAAAGACUUAGGGCAUAGAAAUUGAGUUCAAUUUCCUGUUGUACAUGGAAUUUGUUUGUUCAAUAACCAUUGAUUCUUUUACGACUUUCUGUUGUGUAGAUUGUUCGAUUUUGUUUAAGAAAAUGAGAAGUAAUUUUUAGUUGACUUGUACAAUUACAAUUGUUUUCCAAGGGAAAAGUGAACAAUUAUUAAUAUCACUUAUAUUUUGAUUUUAUUUAAAUAAUUAACAUUUGAAUUUCGUACAUUAUGGAAUCGGCGGUUUAUCCAUUCCUAUUAAAUCUCAUACGAAAUAGCUUAAUCUCUCUCCUACAGGACAUCUUGACGUGUGUAAAUAAUUGCAUAUCCUCCCUUUCCCCGAUUUCACUCUCAAUGAGGGUACAAUAGAGAAAAGAAUUUCCUUUAGUUUAGAGCUUGAAUCACAAUAUCCUUGAGACGAAGAGUCGUUUAAAUAACUUUUGAAAACCCACUUUGUAGAAGGCAGGUAAGAGUCUCCCAUGUACUUUCAUAAAUUUGAUUAUUCUCAUGUAGAGUUCACCUCUUCUUUAUUAGUUCAUUUCCCAAAAAAUAAGCCAACACAUUCCAUUGAUCCAUUAUAUAGAGCAGAUUAUCUAUGUACUCACAAAGUUGUACGAGCUUGGAAUUCAAGAAAAGCAAGUUGUCGCUUAUGAGACGGCUGAG